CCAGGGCAUGCUGAUGUCCAGGAUGCCCCACAACCUGGAAGCAAGAGCCGGGAGGCUGCUGGCCCAACCACUGCUCAAGAGUCCCUGCUCAGUUCCAUUCAGAGAAAGACCACAGCUCUGAGGCGUCGGUGGCUUUCCCACCCUCCAGCCCUGCCUGUCGCCCCUCUUUCUGGAGCUCAGGACUCCACACCACCUCUCCUCAGCCGUGUGGCUCGGAGGAGGCUGGGAGCCCGUAGGACUUGACAGCACAAAGAUCAGGGACAACCGAGCUUUAGGCCAGAAGGGCCUGGAUAAGCCCUAAGAAGGCAGACCCCUUCCCACGCCUCUGAUGGCAUCUUAAAAAGUUCUACUGUGUGCUGACCUGAGGGCUGCAGGGGCUUGCUUCUUGCUGGACUGAGUUAGUGGGCUGGUGUGCGUGACAUAUUUCUCGAGAACCCUAAGUGCCACAGGAGGGGGUGUGGACAGAGGAAGGAGGACAGACCGACAGCUCCAGCCCUGGCUUGCGUCCGAGUCUGUGAGACCUGGAGGCUCUCAGCCUGGGUCUUUGGGCCUCAGUUUCCCUUCUGGGAGCAAGAGGGCUAGAACCCCCUAUCUUUCUGUCCCUCUGUUUCGUAGUCACAGAAGGAAACAUUCUGUCAUAGCCCCGUCAUCGUCUUAGGAAGGAGUGGCUCACUUCCAGGAAUGAUCCUGAGUGUAGAUGCAGCGGUUCUCGGGCCCAACCAUCUCUCGAGAAAUAAAUGCAUUGAUGAUUAUGUAAGAAGAAGGAUGCAGAAAGUCCCUACCGGUCAGGAUUUUGUUAGCUGUCAUUUACCUCCGGCUGCCAUUCACCAAGUGACUCCAAGCAGUGUGGCGUGGG
rnacentral:lncRNA from 1 species